UACGAAGGGUGCUAGCGUUGCUCGGAAUUACUGGGCGUAAAGGGCGCGUAGGCGGCUAGUUUAGUCAGAGGUUAAAGCCCAGGGCUCAACCUUGGAACUGCCUUUGAUACUGGCUAUCUUGAGUACGGGAGAGGUGUGUGGAACUCCGAGUGUAGAGGUGAAAUUCGUAGAUAUUCGGAAGAACACCAGUGGCGAAGGCGACACACUGGCCCGUUACUGACGCUGAGGAGCGAAAGCAUGGGGAGCGAACAGG
rnacentral:rRNA from 1 species